rnacentral:lncRNA from 1 species
UCUCAUCUUGCUUACUGAAAAAUAGCACACAUCACAUAAAACAUUAGCAUCAUAUGGUUCAUGUGGAAACACAUGAACCCGCAUCACAUACAUCACAUACACAGUAUAUCAUCAAUGCACAUGCAUAAAAUCAUGGCAUUUCACAUCAUUAUUCAAGACAGGACUCUACAUCCUAUCCUAGUGGACAUGAUUUUUCCUAUUGUGCUAGCCCUUCUA